AGUGGCGGACGGGUGAGUAACGCGUGAGAAUCUGCCUUGGGGUCGGGGACAACCACUGGAAACGGUGGCUAAUACCGGAUAAGCCGAUUGGUGAAAGAUUUAUUGCCCGAAGAGGAGCUCGCGUCUGAUUAGCUAGUUGGUGAGGUAAGAGCUCACCAAGGCGGCGAUCAGUAGCUGGUCUGAGAGGACGAUCAGCCACACUGGGACUGAGACACGGCCCAGACUCCUACGGGAGGCAGCAGUGGGGAAUUUUCCGCAAUGGGCGAAAGCCUGACGGAGCAAGACCGCGUGAGGGAGGAAGGCUCUUGGGUUGUAAACCUCUUUUCUCAGGGAAGAAGCUCUGACGGUACCUGAGGAAUCAGCCUCGGCUAACUCCGUGCCAGCAGCCGCGGUAAUACGGAGGAGGCAAGCGUUAUCCGGAAUUAUUGGGCGUAAAGCGUCCGCAGGUGGCGAUUCAAGUCUGCUGUCAAAGCACGGGGCUUAACUCCGUAAAGGCAGUGGAAACUGAAUAGCUAGAGUGCCGUAGGGGUAGAGGGAAUUCCCGGUGUAGCGGUGAAAUGCGUAGAGAUCGGGAAGAACAUCGGUGGCGAAAGCGCUCUACUGGACGGCAACUGACACUCAGGGACGAAAGCUAGGGGAGCGAAUGGGAUUAGAUACCCC
rnacentral:rRNA from 1 species